rnacentral:tRNA from 1 species
ACCUGGCUGGCUCAGUUGGUAGAGCAUAUGACUCUUGAUCUCAGGGUCAUGAGUUCAAGCCCCAUGUUGGGUG